rnacentral:rRNA from 11 species
UCAUAGGGUUUUGCCAGUUCCAAUAGGCCUAUAUAUUCUAAAGGUACUAGAGCCUGAAGGACCUAAAGAGAGCCAGCCCCAGUUAGUACUUGGAUGGGACACCACAAGAGAAUAUCAGGUACUAUAGGCU